rnacentral:rRNA from 1 species
UCUCCGUAGGUGAACCUGCGGAGGGAUCAUUACACAAAUAUGAAGGCGGGCUGGAACCUCUCGGGGUUACAGCCUUGCUGAAUUAUUCACCCUUGUCUUUUGCGUACUUCUUGUUUCCUUGGUGGGUUCGCCCACCACUAGGACAAACAUAAACCUUUUGUAAUUGCAAUCAGCGUCAGUAACAAAUUAAUAAUUACAACCUUCAACAACGGAUCUCUUGGUUCUGGCAUCGAUGAAGAACGCAGCGAAAUGCGAUAAGUAGUGUGAAUUGCAGAAUUCAGUGAAUCAUCGAAUCUUUGAACGCACAUUGCGCCCUUUGGUAUUCCAAAGGGCAUGCCUGUUCGAGCGUCAUUUGUGCCCUCAAGCUUUGCUUGGUGUUGGGCGUCUUGUCUCUAGCUUUGCUGGAGACUCGCCUUAAAGUAAUUGGCAGCCGGCCUACUGGUUUCGGAGCGCAGCACAAGUCGCACUCUCUAUCAGCAAAGGUCUAGCAUCCAUUAAGCCUUUUUUUCAACUUUUGACCUCGGAUCAGGUAGGGAUACCCGCUGAACUUAAGCAUAUC